rnacentral:rRNA from 1 species
AUUGAACGCUGGCGGCAGGCUUAACACAUGCAAGUCGAGCGGAGCGAAGGUGCUUGCACCUUAGCUUAGCGGCGGACGGGUGAGUAAUGCUUAGGAAUCUGCCUAUUAGUGGGGGACAACGUUUCGAAAGGAACGCUAAUACCGCAUACGUCCCACGGGAGAAAGCAGGGGAUCUUCGGACCUUGUGCUAAUAGAUGAGCCUAAGUCGGAUUAGCUAGUUGGUGGGGUAAAGGCCUACCAAGGCGACGAUCUGUAGCGGGUCUGAGAGGAUGAUCCGCCACGCUGGGACUGAGACACGGCCCAGACUCCUACGGGAGGCAGCAGUGGGGAAUAUUGGACAAUGGGCGAAAGCCUGAUCCAGCCAUGCCGCGUGUGUGAAGAAGGCCUUUUGGUUGUAAAGCACUUUAAGCGAGGAGGAGGAGCUUCAGGUUAAUACCCUGGAUGCUUGGACGUUACUCGCAGAAUAAGCACCGGCUAACUCUGUGCCAGCAGCCGCAGUAA